UACGUAGGGCGCAAGCGUUAUCCGGAAUUAUUGGGCGUAAAGAGCUCGUAGGUGGUUUGUCGCGUUGUUCGUGAAAUCUCACGGCUUAACUGUGAGCGUGCGGGCGAUACGGGCAGACUGGAGUACUGCAGGGGAGACUGGAAUUCCUGGUGUAGCGGUGGAAUGCGCAGAUAUCAGGAGGAACACCGGUGGCGAAGGCGGGUCUCUGGGCAGUAACUGACGCUGAGGAGCGAAAGCGUGGGGAGCGAACAGG
rnacentral:rRNA from 1 species